AGAGUUUGAUCCUGGCUCAGAAUCAACGCUGGCGGCGCGCUUAACACAUGCAAGUCGCACGAGAAAGUGGGAAACCAUGAGUACAGUGGCGUACGGGUGAGUAACACGUGGGUAAUCUACCUCUGAGUGGGGAAUAACCCUGGGAAACCGGGGCUAAUACCGCAUAAUCUCGAGAGAGGAGAGCAGCAAUGCGCUGAGAGAGGAGCCCGCGGCCGAUUAGCUAGUUGGUAGGGUAAGAGCCUACCAAGGCAGAGAUCGGUAGCCGGCCUGAGAGGGCACACGGCCACACUGGCACUGAAACACGGGCCAGACUCCUACGGGAGGCAGCAGUGGGGAAUCUUGCACAAUGGGGGAAACCCUGAUGCAGCGACGCCGCGUGAGCGAUGAAGCCCUUCGGGGUGUAAAGCUCUUUCGUCAGGGAAGAUGAUGACGGUACCUGGAGAAGCAGCUGCGGCUAACUACGUGCCAGCAGCCGCGGUAAUACGUAGGCAGCGAGCGUUGUUCGGAGUUACUGGGCGUAAAGGGUGUGUAGGCGGUUCUUUAAGUUUGGUGUGAAAUCUCCCGGCUCAACCGGGAGGGUGCGCCGAAUACUGAGGGACUUGGAGUGCGGGAGAGGAAAGUGGAAUUCCUGGUGUAGCGGUGAAAUGCGUAGAUAUCAGGAGGAACACCGGUGGUGUAGACGGCUUUCUGGACCGUAACUGACGCUGAGACACGAAAGCGUGGGUAGCAAACAGGAUUAGAUACCCUGGUAGUCCACGCCCUAAACGAUGCAUAUUUGGUGUGGGUCAUUCAGUUGAUCCGUGCCGGAGCUAACGCGUUAAAUAUGCCGCCUGGGGAGUACAGUCGCAAGGCUGAAACUCAAAGGAAUUGACGGGGCCCGCACAAGCGGUGGAGCAUGGUGGUUCAAU
rnacentral:rRNA from 1 species